rnacentral:sRNA from 1 species
GACCCCGUCAGGCUACCGUCGCGGUGACCGGAACGGCACUAAAGAGGACAAAAGCAUGUCUUCCCUUCCUGGGUGCAUUGGUUUGGAUGCAGCAACAGCUACAGUGGAGUCUGAAGAGAUUGCAGAGCUGCAACAGGCAGUGGUUGAGGAACUGGGUAUCUCUAUGGAGGAACUUCGGCAUUUCAUCGAUGAGGAACUGGAGAAGAUGGAUUGUGUACAGCAACGCAAGAAGCAGCUAGCAGAGUUAGAGACAUGGGUAAUACAGAAAGAAUCUGAGGUGGCUCAAGUUGACCAACUCUUUGAUGAUGCAUCAAGGUGAGAACUCCAUGGAAAAUAGAAGGAAAUCUCUCCACUGGGAGAUAUUUUUAGAGAAUAAUUGUUCAUGACAUUGAACCAAGCAUUUUAUUUUAUGUUUUGAGACGGAGUCUCGCUCUGUCACCCAGGCUGGAGUGCAGUGGAGUGAUCCUGGCUCACUGCAACCUCCGCCUCUUGGGUUCAAGUGAUUCUCCCACCUCAGCAUCCCAAGUAGCUGGGAUUACAGGCAUCCGCCACCACACCCAGCUAAUUUUU